GCGGGGGUUUUAGGGCUUCCUAGUUCCUGUUUUGUGAGAGAAAGAGAAACAAAAGGAGUUUUGUUCUUCUUCUUCCACACCAUCUCCUCCUUGAAAAGCUCCUUCUUUUAAUCUGAAGGUGUCCAUUUGAUCUACAAAAAAGAGUCUCCAUCAGUCAUCCAGAGCCUUCAUCGCGAGCUAGCACUCUCGAGAAAGAUGAUCUGUUCGGG
rnacentral:lncRNA from 1 species